CGCAUCCGAUAUGCCACGAGAUCCUUUACCGUCAAUUUCUUUACCGUCAUCGGAUGCGCAUCCGAUAUGCCACGAGUUUUUUUGUUACCUCACCGUCAAUUCCUAUACCGUCAUGGAUGCCACGAGCUUUGUUCGCGUUGUAAAGGUUUCGGGGAUACGACUAAUGCAUGCGAGCACCGUCGGCGGAACCCCAAACCGCCCUCUCGAUCUAUCCGUAAGAACAAGCCACUCUCGUGACCGUCACAGUUACGGACUCCGGACCUCCAGACUUUAGAGACCGAGCUUUUCUUUACCUUACAAUUACUGUAUACUCGGCACCUCACUUAUAUGUGUUGUUUUUUUCACAUACAUUGUUCUCGUGGUUUACGGAAAAGUAGGCCUAAAAUGUUAUAGUGUCUAAAAACAAUAUUCAGUUAAUGGAAUUACACUUUUUUCCAUUACUGCUUGCUUGAUAUUGCCCUAACAACUUUUUCAUGAAUCAAUUUUGAGCAUUAUGUUUACAACGUAGUUAUUAUAGCACGAAAUAUGAGUCUAAAAUGCCAAAUACUUGCAACUAUUAUGUUAAUCACUGAAAUCUUAGUGUACUAAUUGCUCGCUAUAAGCUAGGUUAUUGCGCCCCUAAACCAACGUACUGACAACGCUUGCUACCUCCCCCGGAACUCAAACUUUAACCGGGCAUGACUUGGUACAUCCAGUGACCCAGCAAAAAGUAGCCUCGGUACAGCCAGAAGUAGCAACAAAUCGCAAAAGGGGAUCCUUGUCUGACUGGUGGCUGGACCACAUGACACUUGUUGGAAAAGGAAGGACCAAAGGUGCCAUCGUCGAGGGCCCAGUUAGAUGAAGAGAUUGAAGCCUGGGCUGCACACAAUCCUGUUAGUAACAAAAAAAGAAGGAAAAAAUGCUGUCCCAUUUGUCCAUAUGCCCAGCGCCAGAACCCAUUUAUACAUCUGGGUAGUGAGAAAAUCUAGGAAGAAGUCGCCACCCACUGAUGAUCUCAUCCAAGUUUACCAAAGACUCCAAAGCAGUGUAGGAGAGGAAUGGUGGCCUGUUCGAACAGGCAUGGACUGAAUCGCCAGCUCUCAUCUCCCUAGUCACUCCGAUGGCCACGUGUCGCUCCUCGAUCAACAGCGAUUUCAAUGAAUGAUGCGUUGAUGUGGGCAAAAAGUGAAUCCUUUCUCGCCUCUGAACUCUGGUGUUCGUCGUAUCAAUCCAUUUUGAUUGUCGAGCAACUUGUGAGCACACCUCUACUUGUUAGUGGGAAGUAAUUUGCAAUAGAGUGACUUACUUUUAUUUCUAUAUAUUUCAUUGUAUUUUUUCACUUCACAUCAUUGUUAUUUUGAAAAAUCCUGCCAAAAUUCUGUUGACUGUUUGUUGUCGACAAGAGUCUAUGUUUCAUGAAUAACAAGGCUGUGUUCUGUACAUUGUA